GUUAUUAGAUAGGCAAUAUGUAGACAGAUGACAAAAUAGAUACAUAGAUGAUAGAUAGAUAGACAGACAGACAGACUGACCCAUGAGAUACCCCCAGCACAAUCCAGGCCUCAUGCCCCUAGUUUUUUCUGGACAUCCCUCACUUUCUGGAGCUCAGGAAACCUCACUCCCACAGAGUGAAGCAUCAAGUGGAGUACCUGGGCCUGAGGGAGAACAUCCGAGUGCGUAGGGCAGGUUUUGCCUACCGUCGGCAGUUCUCCAAGUUCCUGCAAAGGUAUGCCAUCCUGACCCCUGAGACAUGGCCACGGUGGCGUGGAGAUGAACGUCAGGGUGUCCAGCACCUGCUUCGUGCUGUCAACAUGGAGCCAGACCAGUACCAGAUGGGCAGCACCAAGGUCUUUGUUAAG
rnacentral:lncRNA from 1 species